rnacentral:rRNA from 1 species
UACGGGGGGGGCAAGCGUUGUUCGGAAUUACUGGGCGUAAAGGGCGCGUAGGCGGCCACCGCAAGUCGGUUGUGAAAUCUCCGGGCUUAACCCGGAAAGGUCAACCGAUACUGCGGGGCUAGAGUGCAGAAGGGGCAACUGGAAUUCUCGGUGUAGCGGUGAAAUGCGUAGAUAUCGAGAGGAACACCUGCGGCGAAGGCGGGUUGCUGGGCCAUUACUGACGCUGAGGAGCGAAAGCGUGGGGAGCGAACAGG